rnacentral:rRNA from 1 species
UAGGUUAAAAACUGCGGGGAUGAGCUGAGGGUAGGGGUGAAAGGCCAAUCAAACUCCGUGAUAGCUGGUUCUCUCCGAAAUGCAUUUAGGUGCAGCGUUGCGUGUUUCUUGCCGGAGGUAGAGCUACUGGAUGGCCGAUGGGGCCCAAAAGCUUACUGACGUCAGCCAAACUCCGAAUGCCGGUAAGUGAGAGCGCAGCAGUGAGACUGUGGGGGAUAAGCUUCAUAGUCGAGAGGGAAACAACCCAGACCACCAACUAAGGUCCCUAAGCGCGUGCUAAGUGGGAAAGGAUGUGGAGUUGCACAGACAACCAGGAGGUUGGCUUAGAAGCAGCCAUCCUUUAAAGAAAGCGUAACAGCUCACUGGUCUAAACAAGGGUUCCUGCGCCGAAAAUGUAACGGGGCUCAAGCCACGAGCCGAAGCUUAGGGUGUGAUCCGCAAGGGUCACGCGGUAGCGGAGCGUUCUCUAGGCCUGUGAAGCGGUACCUGUGAGGGGCCGUGGAGGUAUGAGAAGUGCGAAUGCUGACAUGAGUAACGACAAAGAGUGUGAAAGACACUCUCGCCGAAAGUCCAAGGGUUCCUGCGUAAAGUUAAUCUGCGCAGGGUUAGCCGGCCCCUAAGGCGAGGCCGAAAGGCGUAGUCGAUGGGAACAGGGUGAAUAUUCCCUGGCCAGCGGGUGGUGACGGAUGCCGUAUAUCGUUUGGUCUUACUGGAUUGAUCAGGCGGUGAAGGGGUCCCAGGAAAUAGCCCCCGCGUGAGACCGUACCCUAAACCGACACAGGUGGACAGGUAGAGUAUACCAAGGCGCUUGAGAGAACUAUGCUGAAGGAACUCGGCAAUUUGCCUCCGUAACUUCGGGAUAAGGAGGCCUGACUUUUACGCAAGUGAGAGUCAGGGGCACAGACCAGGGGGUGGCGACUGUUUAUCUAAAACACAGGGCUCUGCGAAGUCUGUAAGACGACGUAUAGGGCCUGACGCCUGCCCGGUGCCUGAAGGUUAAGUGGAGAUGUGCAAGCAUCGAAAUGAAGCCCAGGUAAACGGCGGCCGUAACUAUAACGGUCCUAAGGUAGCGAAAUUCCUUGUCGGGUAAGUUCCGACCCGCACGAAAGGCGUAACGAUUUGGGUACUGUCUCAAAGAGAGACUCGGCGAAAUAGACAUGUCUGUGAAGAUGCGGACUACCUGCACCUGGACAGAAAGACCCUAUGAAGCUUUACUGUAGCUUGGAAUUGGGUUUAAGUUUUUCUUGCGCAGAAUAGGUGGGAAGCUAAGAAGCCAAUCUUGCGGGAAUGGUGGAGCUAACAGUGAGAUACCACUCUAGGAAAACUGGAAUCCUAACCUUGAUUGCCGUUAGCCGGCCAAGGAACAGUUUCAGGUGGGCAGUUUGACUGGGGCGGUCGCCUCCUAAAAGGUAACGGAGGCGUGCAAAGGUUUCCUCAGGCUGGUCGGAAAUCAGUCGUAGAGUGUAAAGGCAUAAGGAAGCUUGACUGCAAGACCUACAAGUCGAGCAGGGACGAAAGUCGGCCUUAGUGAUCCGACGGUUCCGAGUGGAAGGGCCGUCGCUCAACGGAUAAAAGUUACUCUAGGGAUAACAGGCUGAUCUCCCCCAAGAGUUCACAUCGACGGGG